GACAGAGGCCUCGAGCGUUUAAUCGGAAUUACUGGGCGUAAAGCGUGCGCAGGCGGCUUUGCAAGACAGAUGUGAAAUCCCCGGGCUUAACCUGGGAACUGCAUUUGUGACUGCAUGGCUCGAGUACGGUAGAGGGGGAUGGAAUUCCGCGUGUAGCAGUGAAAUGCGUAGAUAUGCGGAGGAACACCGAUGGCGAAGGCAGUCCCCUGGACCUGUACUGACGCUCAUGCACGAAAGCGUGGGGAGCAAACAGG
rnacentral:rRNA from 1 species